AUUUUGGGUAAAAUAGGUAGCACUUGAGAAGUGACUGGAUUCAUGAUAUAUUUUAAAAGGUACCACUGAAAGAAUUUUCCAAUACAGUCAUGUAGAAAAUAAGAGAGAGGGAACUUAAGAUGACUCCAAGAUUCUUGGCCCAGGCAACUGGUAGGAUGGAGUUGCCAAUUAUUAAGAUAACCCUGUGGGAGGAGCAGAUUGGGAGCUUAGAAAUCAAGAGUUAUGUUUUAGCCAUAUUAAGUCUGAGAUAACAACUUUACAUCUGAGGGGGAUGUGUUGAGUAGGCAGUUGGAUUUAUGAGAACCAUUUCAGGAGACGGCUGUGGGUUGUAGAUAUAAAUUUAGGCACUGUCAGAGUUCAGAUGGCUUUUAAACCCCUGAAACUGAGAAAGUAGAUAACCUAGCGAGUGAGUGUAGAAACAAAGGAGAGCAGGUCUGAAGACUGAGCCUCAGGAAGAUGAGAAAGAAUGAAAAGAGGAGUCUAAGGAAGGGUGAUAAGUAGAAUAGAAGGAAGACUGAGAGGACAGUUCCUGGAAGAAAAGUGAAAAGAUAUUUCAAGAAGAGAAUGACCAAUUCUUCCUAAUGUUACUAGACCUAAUCAGAUGAGGAAUAAUUAUCACCUACGGAUUUGACAUUAUGGCAAUCAUCAAGGACUAUGGCAACACUCUUUCAAUGGAGAAAGGAACAAAACCCCAAUUAAUGUGGGUUCGAAUGAGAAUAAAAGAAAUGGAAACAGCAAAAUAGACAUCUCUUUUUGACGAAUUUUCCUAUAAAGGGGAGAUAACAAAGGGAUCAAACCACUGGCUAGUUUCCCUAGAAAGUACAAAUGAUUAAGGAUCCCUUUAGGUUCCAGAGCAAAAUCCAAGUUGACAACACUUUAAAGAUAUGUUCAACCCCACUGGGAUGGUGGAAGAGGACAGAAAUAAAAUCAGAACCACUUUGUUGGUGGCAAAACAACAGAUUUUCAUGAUAUAGAUCUCUUCGGUUAUGCAAGAGAAAAUUAAAUGCAAACAGACUUAAAAGAUAUGGUUUGUAAGAGAAGAGAGAGGGUCCCAAGCACACAGCAAAACAUAAAAACACACAAAAAUGAGAAUAAAAAAGGGGAACUGUAAAGAUGAAUUUUCA
rnacentral:lncRNA from 12 species